GACGAACGCUGGCGGCGUGCCUAAUACAUGCAAGUCGAGCGCAGGAAGCCGUCUGAACCCUUCGGGGGGACGACGGUGGAAUGAGCGGCGGACGGGUGAGUAACACGUAAAGAACCUGCCCAUAGGUCUGGGAUAACCACGAGAAAUCGGGGCUAAUACCGGAUGUGUCAUCGGACCGCAUGGUCCGCUGAUGAAAGGCGCUCCGGCGUCGCCCAUGGAUGGCUUUGCGGUCCAUUAGCUAGUUGGUGGGGUAACGGCCCACCAAGGCGACGAUGCAUAGCCGACCUGAGAGGGUGCUCGGCCACACUGGGACUGAGACACGGCCCAGACUCCUACGGGAGGCAGCAGUAGGGAAUCUUCCACAAUGGACGAAAGUCUGAUGGAGCAACGCCGCGUGAACGAUGAAGGCUUUCGGGUCGUAAAGUUCUGUUGUAAGGGAAGAACAAGUGCCGCAGGCAAUGGCGGCACCUUGACGGUACCUUGCGAGAAAGCCACGGCUAACUACGUGCCAGCCGCCGCGGUAA
rnacentral:rRNA from 1 species